GACAGAGGGUGCAAACGUUGUUCGGAAUCACUGGGCGUAAAGCGUGCGUAGGCGGUCUUGUAAGUCGGAUGUGAAAGCCCCGGGCUCAACCUGGGAAGUGCACUCGAUACUGCAAGACUUGAGUACUGGAGAGGUUGGUGGAAUUCUCGGUGUAGAGGUGAAAUUCGUAGAUAUCGGGAAGAACAUCGGUGGCGAAGGCGGCCAACUGGACAGAUACUGACGCUGAGGCACGAAAGCGUGGGGAGCAAAC
rnacentral:rRNA from 1 species